rnacentral:rRNA from 1 species
AUUGAACGCUGGCGGCAGGCCUAACACAUGCAAGUCGAGCGCGAAAGUUCUUCGGAAUGAGUAAAGCGGCGGACGGGUGAGUAAUACAUGGGAAUCUGCCUGGUAGUGGGGGACAACGUUUCGAAAGGAACGCUAAUACCGCAUACGCCCUACGGGGAAAGGGGGGAUCGCAAGACCUCUCGCUAUCAGAUGAGCCCAUG